rnacentral:rRNA from 1 species
GACAUAGGUGGCAAACGUUAUCCGGAAUUAUUGGGCGUAAAGAGCUCGUAGGUGGUUUGUCGCGUUGUUCGUGAAAACCGGGGGCUUAACCCUCGGCGUGCGGGCGAUACGGGCAGACUUGAGUACUGCAGGGGAGACUGGAAUUCCUGGUGUAGCGGUGGAAUGCGCAGAUAUCAGGAGGAACACCGGUGGCGAAGGCGGGUCUCUGGGCAGUAACUGACGCUGAGGAGCGAAAGCGUGGGGAGCGAACAGG